ACGUAGGGUGCAAGCGUUAAUCGGAAUUACUGGGCGUAAAGCGUGCGCAGGCGGUUCGCUAAGACCGAUGUGAAAUCCCCGGGCUUAACCUGGGAACUGCAUUGGUGACUGGCGGGCUAGAGUAUGGCAGAGGGGGGUAGAAUUCCACGUGUAGCAGGGAAAUGCGUAGAGAUGUGGAGGACAAACGAUGGCGAAGGCAGCCCCCUGGGCAAAGACUGACGCUCAUGAACGAAAGCGUGGGGAGCAAACAGGA
rnacentral:rRNA from 1 species